UACAGAGGUCUCAAGCGUUGUUCGGAUUCAUUGGGCGUAAAGAGCUCGUAGGCGGCUUGGCAAGUCGGGUGUGAAACCUCCAGGCUCAACCUGGAGACGCCACCCGAUACUGCCAUGGCUAGAGUCCGGUAGGGGACCACGGAAUUCCUGGUGUAGCGGUGAAAUGCGCAGAUAUCAGGAGGAACACCGGUGGCGAAGGCGGGUCUCUGGGCAUCUCCUGACGCUGAGGCGCGAAAGCGUGGGGAGCAAACGGG
rnacentral:rRNA from 1 species